rnacentral:rRNA from 1 species
UUUUGCCUACGGGAGGCAGCAGUGGGGAAUAUUGCACAAUGGGGGGAACCCUGAUGCAGCGACGCCGCGUGGGUGAAGGAGUACUUCGGUACGUAAAGCCCUAUCAGCAGGAAAGAAAAUGACGGUACCUGACUAAGAAGCCCCGGCUAACUACGUGCCAGCAGCCGCGGUAAUACGUAGGGGGCAAGCGUUAUCCGGAUUUACUGGGUGUAAAGGGAGCGUAGACGGCAGUGCAAGUCCGGAGUGAAAGCCCGCGGCCCAACCGCGGGACUGCAUUGGGAACUGGCGCGCUGGAGUGCCGGAGG